GGAUCAUUACUGAGUUUACGCUCUACAACCCUUUGUGAACAUACCUAUAACUGUUGCUUCGGCGGGUAGGGUCUCCGUGACCCUCCCGGCCUCCCGCCCCCGGGCGGGUCGGCGCCCGCCGGAGGAUAACCAAACUCUGAUUUAACGACGUUUCUUCUGAGUGGUACAAGCAAAUAAUCAAAACUUUUAACAACGGAUCUCUUGGUUCUGGCAUCGAUGAAGAACGCAGCGAAAUGCGAUAAGUAAUGUGAAUUGCAGAAUUCAGUGAAUCAUCGAAUCUUUGAACGCACAUUGCGCCCGCCAGCAUUCUGGCGGGCAUGCCUGUUCGAGCGUCAUUUCAACCCUCAAGCUCUGCUUGGUGUUGGGGCCCUACAGCUGAUGUAGGCCCUCAAAGGUAGUGGCGGACCCUCCCGGAGCCUCCUUUGCGUAGUAACUUUACGUCUCGCACUGGGAUCCGGAGGGACUCUUGCCGUAAAACCCCCAAUUCUCCAAAGGUUGACCUCGGAUCAGGUAGGAAUACCCGCUGAACUUAAGCAUAUCAAU
rnacentral:rRNA from 1 species